CUCCCAGAUGCCACUUCCUCCGGGAAGCCUUUCUUGACCUCUCUCCCUCCACACUUCCAGCACCCUUUCUGCCCAGUAGUCUUACGCCAUCCUCCUCCCUCUCUACUCUGUGUUGUCUGGCUGUGCAGUGAGUUGCCUGCACGUGGGUCUCCCGUGCGGCCCCCGCCUCACCAUCCCAGCAUCUCGCAUGUAGCACGGAGCAGCGAGGCUCACGCCCAGCAAGUGCUCAGUGAUUCUCGUUCAGCCACACCACCCGGAAGUCGCGCGGCACGUCCUCAGACACGGACACGUUGUACACGGCCGGGAAGAAGGAAGCCCUCCGGGAUCUGCUCCUCCUGGACCCUCUGAACGCUCCAGUGUUCCGCAAUCUCCCGUCACCCUCCACCCUUACAGUGCUG